UGCAUAUUUAAGUAAGGUACUAUGUGAAUUCUUGACAUACAAGCAACAUAGGCUAACAAGUCCUAAUAAGUUGCUUCUACCAUUUUCACUCUGUUCCAAAUUCAUUUCUCAGCCAUGGAUAUUGUUUCGGACAUUCGAAACAUGCUAUUUCGUACGGUUCAAAAUGUCGCUUUGCGCAUUGCCAUGGUGCAAACUUUUCAAUUUCGUUCAAGGAUGUUGGUCUGCGCAUCCAUUCCACAAUCUGGUGACUCGUGACGAAAAAGACAUCAUCCAAUUGAACAGGAAAAAUCCUUACCCUCAAAAUAUGCCAUUUAGUAUGACUUUUAAAAGCAGAAUUAAUAAUGAACAUAAUAUUUUACUUACAUUAAAUACAUAAAAGUACAUUGGAUUAUGAAACCAUGAUGCAUGAAAAUGUAAGCCGAGAGGUGCGCGAUUGGUAAGAUAAUGCCUAUUGAAGUUCAGCAUAAGCAUCUUAUAAACUUCUUCGCCAGAUAAGUCAGAGGGGCAUGAGUCCACAGUACUACAUGUGUAAUCCUAAACAAAAAUUUAAUGAACGUUUUUGUAUUGUUUUAAAAGGAAGAGAAAAAGGAAGAGACCGUAAUAAUCUGAUAAAUGAACGAAAAUAUAAGAAAACAUUUAUUAUCAAUUAGGGGAGAGUAUUUUAAUUUUUUAUAUUUUCGAUCAUGAAAAAUAUAAUAUGAAAAAUAUAAAUAAUUUACAGAUAUUAAGAUGAAAAAAAUUCAAUAAUAUCGAUUAUAAGAACUUUUAGUCAUCUGAUUUUUCUACACGAUGCAGCAAGAUCAAAUUUAUAUUGUCAUAUAUUACAAUAUUUUGCAAUUAACAAUCAAAAAGGUCUCAACCCUCUGUUUUCUAUUUUUAUCUUUUCCUUUUUCUUGAUGUUCUAAAAAAUUUCAACUCGGUCGCAUAUGAUUCACAUACAUUUGCCAAAAGUUGAUUUAGAGGUAGUUCCCAGAUAUUUGGAUAAGAACGGGUAGGGCAGAGCUGCCCUGCAUGAACGCACGGAUGCGGCGGCCUGUAGUCGAGCGUGUAAGGCCAAAAAGGUGGAUCGGAGAAAGGUGCGACGAUCGAGGAAUCGUAAACGAAACCAAACUCAGACAUCAUCAGAAACUGGCGAUUCCAUCCAACUUGUAGAAAAGGCGCCCUUAUUCCUACGACAAAUAUAUACUGUUUUAUAAUAAAUAUUCAAUGUUUUCUUGACAUUUUUCUCAGAACUUUAUACGAAUACUUUACAGAAAUACUAAGAAAGUUUUCCUCUUUCCUAGACUUUUUUUACAUAUGUAUAUGAAUUUUGAAAUAUUCUAAGUUUCUAAGAUUUCUUAUCCUAUAUAAUUUCUAAAAAAAUAUUUUAAACUUUCAGAUUUUAUAAAAUUUUUUUAGACAUUACAUAAUAAUAAAAUGAGAGAAAUCUUAGAAGUCUUAUGAUAUUUUAAAAUUUAUACGUGGAGAAUUCUAGAAAAGAUAUGUUGACUUUCUCAAUAUUUCAGAAAAAUAUUUCUAUUUGUAUAAAAAAUUUGUAGAAUUUUCUGAAAAGUAAAAAUAAAAUUAUGCAGAAGUUCUGAAAAAUUCUGAAAUUUGCAUAAAAAUUCUGAAAAAUUCCGAGGAAAAUUUUCAGAAAGGGUCUUUUUUUAUAAUUUUAAUAUUGUAAUGAACUGAAAAUGAGAUUUUUACCUCUAAUAUCGCUGGUGCGGACUGCUGCAUAUUUCUUGAUGAUGUUCGCUAUUCCAACCAUUUCGUCGAACCAGUCUUCAAUCGUCGCAUUUUUCGACCACCAUUCUUCCGGUCCACGAUGUCUAAAAAACAAUUUUCGAUUUAUUUUAUUGAAUUAAAUAAUUCUUAAUGAUCUU